rnacentral:misc_RNA from 1 species
UCCGGCUUAUCACCGGCAGUCCCCUUAGAGUGCCCAACUGAAUGAUGGCAACUAAGGGCGAGGGUUGCGCUCGUUGCGGGACUUAACCCAACAUCUCACGACACGAGCUGACGACAGCCAUGCAGCACCUGUCUCCGAUCCAGCCGAACUGAAAGGCUCCAUCUCUGGUGCCCGCGAUCGGGAUGUCAAAGGUUGGUAAGGUUCUUCGCGUUGCAUCGAAUUAAACCACACGCUCCGCCGCUUGUGCGGGCCCCCGUCAAUUCCUUUGAGUUUAGCCUUGCGGCCGUACUCCCCAGGCGGGAUGCUUAAAGCGUUAGCUACGGCACGGAAAGGGUUGAAGACCUCCCCACACCUAGCACCCAACGUUUACGGCUGGGACUAC